rfam:Thiorhodovibrio sp. 970 genomic scaffold Thi970scaffold_6, whole genome shotgun sequence.
AAAGUCACCUUUUCAGUACUGAAGGUGUAGAGCCCCGAAAAGAAUUUGUCGGAGAGUGCCGACGGGUUUGUCCCCCCGGCAGGCAACACUCCAUGUCGCGUCAAGGUCAGUGGCAUGGAGACUCCCCGGGGUCCGAGGCCG